UACGUAGGAUGCGAGCGUUGUCCGGAAUUAUUGGGCGUAAAGAGCUUGUAGGCGGUUUGUCGCGUCUGCCGUGAAAAUUCGAGGCUCAACCUCGAACUUGCGGUGGGUACGGGCAGACUAGAGUGUGGUAGGGGAGACUGGAAUUCCUGGUGUAGCGGUGAAAUGCGCAGAUAUCAGGAGGAACACCGAUGGCGAAGGCAGGUCUCUGGGCCACUACUGACGCUGAGAAGCGAAAGCAUGGGGAGCGAACAGG
rnacentral:rRNA from 1 species